rnacentral:rRNA from 1 species
UAAUUGGAGAGUUUGAUCCUGGCUCAGAAUGAACGCUGGCGGCGUGCUUAACACAUGCAAGUCGCACGAGAACUCUUCUGCUUGCAGAAGAUAGUAAAGUGGCGCACGGGUGAGUAACGCGUGGGUAAUCUACCUCUGAAUUGGGGAUAACAUUGCGAAAGCGAUGCUAAUACCGAAUAAUAUCCCGAAAACUUAGGUUUUUGGGAUCAAAGAUGGCCUCUACAUGUAAGCUAUUGUUUGGAGAUGAGCCCGCGUACCAUUAGCUUGUUGGUAGGGUGAUGGCCUACCAAGGCAACGAUGGUUAGCUGGUCUGAGAGGAUGAUCAGCCACACUGGAACUGACACACGGUCCAGACUCCUACGGGAGGCAGCAGUGAGGAAUUUUGCGCAAUGGGGGAAACCCUGACGCAGCAACGCCGCGUGAGUGAUGAAGGCUUUCGAGUCGUAAAGCUCUGUCAAGUGAGAAGAACCUACUUUUUGUUAAUACCAUUAAGUACUGACGGUAUCACUGAAGGAAGCACCGGCUAACUCCGUGCCAGCAGCCGCGGUAAUACGGGGGGUGCAAGCGUUAUUCGGAAUUAUUGGGCGUAAAGGGCGCGUAGGCGGUCUUUUAAGUCAGAUGUGAAAGCCCGGGGCUUAACCCCGGAAGUGCAUUUGAAACUAAGGGACUUGAGUAUGGGAGAGGGAAGUGGAAUUCCUGGUGUAGAGGUGAAAUUCGUAGAUAUCAGGAGGAACACCGGUGGCGAAGGCGACUUCCUGGACCAAUACUGACGCUGAGGCGCGAAGGCGUGGGUAGCAAACAGGAUUAGAUACCCUGGUAGUCCACGCAGUAAACGUUGUUCACUAGGUGUAGCGGGUAUUGACCCCUGCUGUGCCGCAGCUAACGCAUUAAGUGAACCGCCUGGGAAGUACGAUCGCAAGAUUAAAACUCAAAGGAAUUGACGGGGGCCCGCACAAGCGGUGGAGCAUGUGGUUUAAUUCGACGCAACGCGAAGAACCUUACCUGGAUUUGACACCCCGAGAAGUCUUUUGAAAGAAAGAUGUGCCCUUCGGGGAACUCGGAGACAGGUGCUGCAUGGCUGUCGUCAGCUCGUGUCGUGCGAUGUUGGGUUAAGUCCC